rnacentral:tRNA from 1 species
AGUUAAUGAACUUGUAAUAGUUUAUGUUUUGAAAACAUAAUAUAGAAACUAAUUAUUUCUAUUAACUU